CUGGAGUGCAGUGGCGCAAUCUUGACUCAUUACAUCCUCCGCUUCCCAGGUGGAAGUCAUUCUCCUACCUGAGCCUUCCAGGUAGCUGGAACUAUAGGCAUGCACUACCACACCCAGCUAAUUUUUUUUUUUUUUUUUUUUGUAUUUUUAGUAGAGAUGGAGUUUCGCCAUGUUGGCCAGGCUGGUCUCGAACUCCUAACCUCAAGUGAUCUGCCCAUCUCAGCCUCCCAAAAUGCUGUGAUUACAGGCGUGAUCCACUGCACCAGGCCUCAUAUUGAUUCCAUUCAGUUGAAUAGUGGGCCUUGUGAAGAAGGUACCUGCUUCCCUUUCUGCCAUGAUUGUAAUUUUCCUGAAGUCGCCCCAACCAUGUGAAAGAAGCUGUUGAAACAGUCCAUCUUACAACCCUUCUCUGAUGCAACUAGAAGACAGCUGUUCGCAAACCAGGAAUAGGGCCCUCAUCAGACGCUGGAUCUGCGGGUACAUUACAAUUGGACUUCUCAGCUUGGAAAGGGAUCAUGCUGUCAGGCUUGGAAGAAAUACCUCCUUUUCUCCAGUCUUUCCUUCAGUUCUGCUGGAAUUGGCAUUUUAAUAUCUUUAAUUUCAUUUGAUUUAUAGUAUUUAAUUUGCCUUUGCUAGAUUUGUAAAAUAUGUUAUGAUUUUCUACUUAAUUACUUCUUAUUAAUCAAAGUAUAUAUUUCUUUCAGCCUAUGCUCAUUGUCCAGGAAGAAGGAAAUCACUAAUACUGUAUUCUACAACUAUAUUAUUUCAGAGUUUUCAAUCCUUUUCUAUGGCUACAUAUAAGAAAGCAUUUCAUUCUUUGUGGUCCCUUGAAUGGCAUUGAACUGGUCAAGUGAUUGUUUUUGAUAAGUUCUAUAGAUCUGUGCUUAGGCACUUAACAGGAUGCAAUCAGGGUACACUGAGAUUUGCUAUGUAAGAGCCUCUGUAAUUAAAAUGAUGUAUAGUUACAUCUCUAAAUAUAAUGGUUUCUACUGAUAAAACACUUUUCUAUAUAUUUCAAUAAAAUUGCAGAGCUUAUAAAAUUGAAUUAAUAUAAUGUGAUAGAAACACAGAUGUUAUUGAAAUAAAAUGAUUGUAUGUUUGUAUAUUCUUCUUUAUCUUUGUGAUUUACUCAUUUUAUUGGAUAGUUACAGUUGCUGCCUUUAAACAUGUCUGCCCUUAGGGCUCUGUGUACAAAAACACGAAUUGAGGAUAUUUUUAUAGUAUUAUUGGAUCAAUUUUAUAAAUAUAUGCUAAAUCUGGUUUAUGUGUAAGACUCAGUGUCAGGAAUAAGAAAGUUCCUCAAUUUAUUAAGCUGUGCUGCAACCCCACCUUAUUCUCUGGGGGUCUCUGUUACCUUAGCUGUAAGUGCUGCAUGCUGUAUACUGAAUCACGUUCCCUAAAAUUCAUAGAUUAAAGCCCUAACAACCAAUGUGAUAGUAUUUGGAAGUGGGAUGUUUGGGAGGUAACUAGGUUGAGAUGAGGUUAGGAAGUUCCGGUCCCCUUAAUGGGAUGAGUGUUCUUACAAGAGAGGAAGAAAGGCUAAGAGACUGGAGCACUCUUUCUCCCGUUACCAUGUCAGGACAUGGUGAGAGAGCAGUCAUCUCCAAACUAGGAAGAGGCUCCUCAUUAGGCACUGAACUAGCCAGCACCUUGAUCUGGAACGUCCGGCCUUAAGGGCACUAAGAAAAUCAAAUUCUGUGGUUUAAGCCACCUAGUGUAUGAUAUUUUGCUACGGCAGUCUGAGCUUGGGCAAGACACUAUUGCUGCCCUGCCUCCACAGCAGACUUUUUGUGAGGAUUAAAUAAAUCACUUUGAAGAAUGAAUUGGUUUCAUUAGUUAUCUUUUUUUAUGCUUAAGUCUCUCAAAACUCCCUAUCAAAUAUUUAGUGUUAAAUAAAAUUGUAAAAUGUU
rnacentral:lncRNA from 1 species